AUGCCUGUCAUUGCUUUAAAGCUAGAUUUUCACAAGGCCUUCGACAGUGUCAGUUGGUGCUGCCUUCGCAAGAUCCUGGAGGCCAGGGGUUUUCCUCAAACAUGGACUAACUGGAUAUGUGCCCUUCUGUCUUCUGGCAGCUCUAGGGUUCUACUCAAUGGGGAGAUGGGUCCUCCCAUCACGGCAAAGAAAGGUUUUCGGCAGGGGGACUCUCUCUCCCCGUACCUGUUCAUCCUUGUGGCUGAUGUGCUGCAGAGGAUGUGCUGUCAGUUGUUCCAAGAUGGUUCUUUGCUGCACCCCCUUGGUUCAGACAACUUCUUUCCGAUCCUAUAG
rnacentral:rRNA from 1 species